UGACCGCUGGCGGCGUGCCUACUACAUGCACGUCGAGCGAACGGACGAGAAGCUUGCUUCUCUGAUGUUAGCGGCGGACGGGUGAGUAACACGUGGAUAACCUACCUAUAAGACUGGGAUAACUUCGGGAAACCGGAGCUAAUACCGGAUAAUAUUUUGAACCGCAUGGUUCACAAGUGAAAGACGGUCUUGCUGUCACUUAUAGAUGGAUCCGCGCUGCAUUAGCUAGUUGGUAAGGUAACGGCUUACCAAGGCAACGAUGCAUAGCCGACCUGAGAGGGUGAUCGGCCACACUGGAACUGAGACACGGUCCAGACUCCUACGGGAGGCAGCAGUAGGGAAUCUUCCGCAAUGGGCGAAAGCCUGACGGAGCAACGCCGCGUGAGUGAUGAAGGUCUUCGGAUCGUAAAACUCUGUUAUUAGGGAAGAACAUAUGUGUAAGUAACUGUGCACAUCUUGACGGUACCUAAUCAGAAAGCCACGGCUAACUACGUG
rnacentral:rRNA from 1 species